UACGUAGGUGACCAGCGUUGUCCGGAUUUACUGGGCGUAAAGAGCGCGCAGGCGGUCGUUCAAGUCGAGUGUGAAAGCCCCCGGCUCAACUGGGGAGGGUCACUCGAUACUGAUCGACUUGAAGGCAGGAGAGGGAAGCGGAAUUCCCGGUGUAGUGGUGAAAUGCGUAGAUAUCGGGAGGAACACCAGUGGCGAAGGCGGCUUCCUGGCCUGUUCUUGACGCUGAGGCGCGAAAGCGUGGGGAGCGAACG
rnacentral:rRNA from 1 species